rnacentral:rRNA from 1 species
ACUGUAGCCUAAUAUUGGGUUUCGAUGUUGCAUGCACAGGAUAGAUGGGACACUGGGAAGCAAGAGCUUUGGCUUUUGUGGAGUGGCCGUUGGGAUACCAUCCUUGCGAUAUUGGAAUUCUAACCUGCGCCUUUGAAUCAAGGCGGGGGACAUUGUUAGGUGGGCAGUUUGACUGGGGCGGUCGCCUCCUAAAGAGUAACGGAGGCGUUCAAAGGUUCGCUCAGCUUGAACGGAAAUCAAGCAAAAGAGUGCAAACGCAGAAGCGAGCCUAACUGCGAGACUGACGGGUCGAGCAGUAACGAAAGUUGGAGUUAGUGAUCCGGUGGUAUGUGAGUGGAAAUGCCAUCGCUCAACGGAUAAAAGUUACCCUGGGGAUAACAGGCUGAUCUCCCCCAAGAGUCCACAUCGACGGGGAGGUUUGGCACCUCGAUGUCGGCUCAUCGCAUCCUGGGGCUGUAUUCGGUCCCAAGGGUUUGGCUGUUCGCCAAUUAAAGCGGUACGCGAGCUGGGUUCAGAACGUCGUGAGACAGUUCGGUCCCUAUCUGUCGUGGGCGCAGGAUAUUUGAUGGGAGCUGUUCCUAGUACGAGAGGACCGGAGCGGACGUACCUCUGGCGCACCAGUUGUUCUGCCAAGGGCAUAGCUGGGCAACUAUGUACGGAUCGGAUAAACGCUGAAAGCAUCUAAGCGUGAAGCCGACCCAAAGAUAAGAUAUCCCAUUGUUUCAAACAAGUAAGACCCCUUGAAGACUACAAGGUUGAUAGGCACGAUGUGUAAGUGGAGCGAUCCAUUCAGCAAGCGUGUACUAAUAGGUCGAGGGCUUGACCACA